ACUCCAUGCUUUGGAAAUUUCCUAAGCAAAUCUUUGAACCCUUCCCAUGCUUCAUACAGUGUUUAAUCCUCUAGUUUCUUUAAGGAUGUUAUGUCAUUUUUCAGUUU
rfam:Gossypium raimondii Chr03_contig_568, whole genome shotgun sequence.